rnacentral:lncRNA from 1 species
UAGGUGAUUAUAAAACUUACUUCUCAUUACUCCUCAUAUUGCUAUCUCUCCUCCUCUCUUGAUCUUUGCUUUGGGAGAACAUGAGCUAUCUUUUUCUUCUUUUUUCUUCUCUUUUUUGCAGGUGGGUAAUAAAUACCCCUAAUUCUACUGUCGGACACUUGUCCAUUUUUUUCGCUCAGGUGGGCAUCUUUGUACCCCUAAUUCUACUCUAGACACUUGUCCAUUUUUACCUCUCGUCUCACUCUUUUCUUUGUUUUUCGAGGUUCCGGGCACUUGCCCCUUUUUAUUUCCUCGCAUAUUUUUGCAUAGCCCAUGCCUCUUCUGCAUUGAAUCUUUUUGGAGAGAGAGAAUAACAACACUUUGGGACAGUGAGUGAUAACAAUAUUUUUAGCAGAUUUUGAUGAAUAGUUGUGGAUAGUAUAAUAGAUGUGUGCAAGUGAGUAACUUGAUUUAACCACAUGAAAAGAUCCUAAGGGUCUACACAGCUCGACCAAACUCAAUGUGAAUAUAAGUAGCAGCAGAUAUAGAAUUUAUAGCAAGUAUGGCUGUGGUAGGAAUUUUGUCAUGCUAGGAACUCAUCAUGUGAUUUGCAAGUUUUCAAAAUAAAUCUCCAGAACUUAGUGUAGUAGAAACAAGAUAAACAGCAGCUCAAACUUUAUAUCAUGUCUAUCUCUUACCUAGACUUUAGUUUUUGGUUCAUGCUCCCAUAGAUUUCAAGUUUUAGCAAUUCUUGGGAGAACUCUAAUUUGAAAGCUAGAUACUUGAAAGUAAGCAAACAGAGCAACUGUUCAUCAUUUCCAUCAUGCAUCUUUUUGGUUAUCAUUUUCUAGAGAUUAAACUUAGCAGGAAAAUAAAGCACAGUUAUCUACACACUCAUUUUAUGUGGUUUUCAUUUUUAAGGAAUACAGUAAAUUAAGCAAGAAAUUAUUUAUUGGAUUUUCUAAGUUUUUAAUUUUUCAUCAUUUUUUUCAUUUUUUUCAUUUUUUUAAAACAGAAAAAUAAAUAAGAAAAGCAAAUAAAAACUUACUCGGUAGAUGGGGAGGAACUCCCCCAAGCUGGAUGUGGCUGUGUCGGUCCUACUCAAUGUUCCAGAACCGCAUCAUGGUGGUGAUGUUGUCGUUCAUCGACGUGGUGUCUCGCCUCAGGUCUUGUACUGCAGCGGCGUGGUCCUGGUUCCACUUCUGUUGCUAUUCCAGGAGUCGUUGAAAGCCCUAGUUUGGUUUUGGAUAAUUAAUGAAACCUAUGUGUACUAACCUUUGUCAUAAGUGAAAUAUAAAGAUAGGUUGGCACACACCAAGUGAUGGAGCU